rnacentral:rRNA from 1 species
CGGAGGAAAAGAAACCAACAGGGAUUGCCCUAGUAACGGCGAGUGAACAGGCAAGAGCUCAGAUUUGAAAGGCACUUUUGUGCCGUUGUAUUCUGAAGUUAGGGUCCUGAGAAACGAUGCUUAAGUCUUCUGGAAAGGAGCGCCAUGGAGGGUGAUAGCCCCGUCUAGCAUUGACCUCAUAUAGGAUCUUAACAUGGAGUCGAGUUGUUUGGGAAUGCAGCUCAAAUGGGUGGUAUGCUCCAUCUAAAGCUAAAUAUCUGCGAGAGACCGAUAGUAAACAAGUACUGUGAGGGAAAGAUGAAAAGAACUUUGAAAAGAGAGUGAAAAAGUACGUGAAAUUGUUGAAAUGGAAGGGUAGGCCGCUAACCAUGUAGAGCCGUGUUUGGGGGGAAGAUAAAUGCUGUAGAAUGUAGCUCCUCGGAGUAUUAUAGAUGCAGUUCAUAUUCCCACCCGAGCGCGAGGAUCUCAGGUUCUACUAAAUGGUGGUCUACCACCCGUCU